rnacentral:rRNA from 1 species
GACGAACGCUGGCGGCGUGCCUAAUACAUGCAAGUAGAACGCUGAAGGAGGAGCUUGCUCUUCUGGAUGAGUUGCGAACGGGUGAGUAACGCGUAGGUAACCUGCCUGGUAGCGGGGGAUAACUAUUGGAAACGAUAGCUAAUACCGCAUAACAGUUGAUGUUGCAUGACAUUUACUUAAAAGGUGCAAUUGCAUCACUACCAGAUGGACCUGCGUUGUAUUAGCUAGUUGGUGGGGUAACGGCUCACCAAGGCGACGAUACAUAGCCGACCUGAGAGGGUGAUCGGCCACACUGGGACUGAGACACGGCCCAGACUCCUACGGGAGGCAGCAGUAGGGAAUCUUCGGCAAUGGACGGAAGUCUGACCGAGCAACGCCGCGUGAGUGAAGAAGGUUUUCGGAUCGUAAAGCUCUGUUGUAAGAGAAGAACGAGUGUGAGAGUGGAAAGUUCACACUGUGACGGUAUCUUACCAGAAAGGGACGGCUAACUACGUG